rfam:Papio anubis isolate 1X1155 chromosome 3, whole genome shotgun sequence.
CCCAAGGCUUUUCUAAAAAGCCACACACAUGAAAGUAAGAAAGAUUU